AUUGAACGCUGGCGGCAGGCCUAACACAUGCAAGUCGAGCGGAUGAGGAAAGCUUGCUUUUCGAUUCAGCGGCGGACGGGUGAGUAAUGCCUAGGAAUCUGCCUGUUAGUGGGGGAUAACUCGGGGAAACUCGGGCUAAUACCGCAUACGUCCUACGGGAGAACGUGGGGGAUCUCCGGACCUCACGCUAACAGAUGAGCCUAGGUCGGAUUAGCUAGUAGGUGAGGUAAUGGCUCACCUAGGCGACGAUCCGUAACUGGUCUGAGAGGAUGAUCAGUCACACUGGAACUGAGACACGGUCCAGACUCCUACGGGAGGCAGCAGUGGGGAAUAUUGGACAAUGGGCGAAAGCCUGAUCCAGCCAUGCCGCGUGUGUGAAGAAGGUCUUCGGAUUGUAAAGCACUUUAAGUUGGGAGGAAGGGUAUUCACCUAAUACGUGGGUACUUUGACGUUACCAACAGAAUAAGCACCGGCUAACUCUGUGCCAGCCGCCGCCGUAAAAC
rnacentral:rRNA from 1 species